rnacentral:rRNA from 1 species
CACGUAGGGGGCAAGCGUUGUCCGGAAUUAUUGGGCGUAAAGAGCUCGUAGGCGGCUUGUCACGUCGGUUGUGAAAGCCCGGGGCUUAACCCCGGGUCUGCAGUCGAUACGGGCAGGCUAGAGUUCGGUAGGGGAGAUCGGAAUUCCUGGUGUAGCGGUGAAAUGCGCAGAUAUCAGGAGGAACACCGGUGGCGAAGGCGGAUCUCUGGGCCGAUACUGACGCUGAGGAGCGAAAGCGUGGGGAGCGAACAGG